rnacentral:lncRNA from 1 species
AUGGAACGGGUUCCAGGAGGAGAUGGGGAGCAUCGGGAUCAGGGUGAUCGUCUUAAUCGUACGAAUGCAGCAAGUUCCUUCCACGAUCACGGCCAUUUGAAGGGAUGGGAUGCGCACUGUUCCCGUUUGAGGAGACAGAACCAUCCUUCGAAAACCAAGAAUGGAAGUGAUCAAAGCCUUCAUGGAACACGGAUCCACCGUCAGCGAUUAAGCAUCUUUCGAGGACAUCUGUUUUGGGGCCUGACUGAAGUAGACGUCGCCUGUUUUAUUCUCUAAUAUUUGCAUACGUGAGCACGGUUCAGUCAUGACUGAUGUCUAAUAAAAGACAGAAUAAACAAAACUCAAUCCCUUUUCUUUAAAGAUUUUAGAGCAAACGCCCAUCUGGGCUAGAAUACAGAAAUGGAAUUUCUACAGGCCAGCCCCACCCUGGCUCUUGGGGUAAGGACCGAGCUGCGAAUGUUGAGCCCUCUGCUGUCAGCUAGCUUGCAUUCCAAGUCCCUUGAUUCAGUUUAAAGGACGGGGUCUUAUAUUAUGAAAAAUUAUUAGUAAAACUAACAUUUAUGGAGAGCCCACUGGGUUCAAUGCACUGUACUGAAACUUUGGGAAGUAUAAAACUAGCAAGGGCCCAUUUCCUGCCCAGAAGGAGCUUACACUUGAUUUGGGAGAGACAGAUAGAAAAAUAUCUAUAGAGUAAUCAAAAUAAAUCCUAGAAUGGGCAUUCGAAUGAACACACGUAAAAUGUGCUGCGGAAGGGCUGAAAUAAGUACAUAUAUCCUGGAGAUGCCUGCCGGAGUUAUUUGACUUGGGAAUUAAUUGGAAAAAGAUUUAUCGGAGGAGGUGGGAGUUUCUUUUGGAAAAUGUGUUUCAGCUGACAUCACUUCUAGGCACUGUAUAUUUAUUUAUUACCUUCUUAAAGUGGCCUUCCUCCCGAGGCACCGGAGUACGCACUUAAUUUUAAAUCAAUGCAGACAUCUAAUCGUUCUCCUCUAUUACCUCCCUUCAGAGCAGAUAAUCAAAAUAAUUACAGAGAGGUCCGGUGAAAUCUAUUUUCCCCGCUCCCUCAGUAUUUCUGCGUUUCUUUUCAAUUUUCUGUAUGUAUCGGUGCCUGUUUUUGUAAAGCUCGUAUAUCUAUUUCUCGUGUUUUUUACCCAACUGUUUAUCUAGGACUUUGGAACUCCUCCCUCAGUGGGCAAAGACCUUCCGCGAAAUUCCUCUCGGCUCUUAGAAUGCCACUGGGCCCCAUGAAGGAACUCAAUGGAUAUUGUUGGUGUAGACUUUGCCUCAUUAAAUCAAAUCAAGUUACA